UUGCAUUAAAGGGCAGAUUAUUUAUAAUAAUGUGGAAUUACAAAUGCCUUGCUAUAAAUUUCGUGUCUGAUUCACAGCUCGAGGACAUCACUGGGUGGAAAAGAGUUGGCUCACAUAGUUUAUUGAUUUUAAUGAUAUAUUAAAUUAUGAACUAGCACCUAUGCACCUCUCAGACCUGCAAUUUCCCAAAAUUAUAGCAAAAAAUUCCCAAAAUUAGGUGUAGGACUGACUGGCCCAAAAAUCCUUGAAUUUUUUGCCAUGCUGAUUAUCCAGAUCAUAUCCAACCUCUGUUCCCUCUUCUUGAGGGCAAAGAGAAUUUUCUUCCAUGGAAAACCCUCAAAUCUUGUGACAGAUGUCGAGUAAGAAAUCAGUGUCCCAAAGACAGGGGAAAAAAAACCAAAUUUAAUGAUUCUGUGGUUUGCCAAAGACCUUACAUAAAUCAGUGAAUAAACAUGAAAUAUGCACUACUUUAAAAAGAUAACCGCUGUUUUUUUUCAUGAUUUCAUAACUAAAUGGAUCUCUGAGCAUGUGUUACCUUUUUUAUGAGCUUUUAAAGCUUCCAACCUCACCAAGGCACAGCAACCAGCAGCCCAAAGCCAACAGGACCAUUAGAGACCUAAAAAUCAGAACUCCCAAUAUCAAAUUUGAACCCAGUAAAAAAAGCACUGUGCCAGAACAGAUCCAUAAAGCACAUUUCAACAACAAGUUACAGCUGCUGCCCCGUAUUUAUAGCUUUGGGACAAAAAAAAAAAUAAAAAAAAAAAUAGAAAGCAGAACACAACAGACUGGAAAGAGCAGAAAGGAUUGGAAACAGCAAAUUUGUCAAUGUUUUUCCUUGCUGCUGCGUCGCUGCUGCUUUAGAUUAGCCCUGUCCCCUGCAAUUUGACAGUAGCGCCGUGAACCUGCAGCGUGAGGAUCCCGGGCUAAGAUAGGGAGAGAGGAGGAGGAAUUCAGGGAAUGUUUUCCUUGGGAGCAAGCGGGGAAGCGCAGCCGCUGGGACCGGGGCUGCGGUGACAGCGCUAACACUUCCCAGAGCCGGGGACCCCGCCGCUGGAAUGGCAUUGCCCACCCUGAAAGUGAGAAGCUCAAAGGGACAGAGGAAAAAAUCUGGGGGAGCAGAUAGCUGAAAAACCACUGUGCUAAAAAACCCCUAAAAAUCAGGAUUUUCCCUUAUGGACUGAAAGAAGCCCUAUUAAAAUCCUAUCUUCUGGAAAGCGUCAGAGAGGCAGGAGCGUAGACGUUUGCUUCCUGAGGAAGUAUUUUUAGCUUCUGAAUGAAACAAGUCACGGACAAAAAAAAAGGUAAUUGUGCUUGCAAGUAAGUAUUUAAAUAUUUACAUUUGAAAUAUAUUUGCUGCCAGCUUCUGUUAGCGAGAAGAAAAGUAAUUUGGGAAAUCACAACCCUUCCUAUUUCCCACAUUUUUUAGGAUAAUAAAUGCGGGGCUGAAUUUAGCAUGCCCUGGAGCUCGGCUGGCCGAAGUCGAAGGCAAAGAGGGAGCUGGGGAUAAUUCAUGGAACAAAGAUGCUGCUGGGGAGGGGGACCUGCAGAGCUUGGGAGGUGCUGGGGAUGAAGAUGAGUUUCCUUUGGGGCGGGAAGCGCCUGGAUCGCCCGGAGCAGCUGCUCCCGGCAUGUGGAACCAGGCUGCGGCCACCGGCCGAGCUGACUUCUCAUGUGCUGACCUCCAGAUAUGGUGGAUCUGCUCAUCCUCACAGGCUGGCAGGCUCAGGGCCUGAGUCAUGUUCCCCAAACCCUCCAGCACGUGGAGAUGACGCUCGGGGUCACGGAUGAGCUGCCUUGCCCUGUGUCCCAGCCUACACUCCAUGUGAAACCACGCUGGAAAAUCCAGGAUGCGUUGGGGCGUCAGAGGGAUGAGUAAGAAGGGGGUGUCAUGAAGCCAAGGGGAGAUGAUUGCUGUAGAUGCCAGCCCUGGGUCGGGACAUCACCCCCAGCACCUUCUGCAGGUGUUGCAGGUGGCCGCCCCCCUGCACAUUUGCAUAAUUGUUAAUUCAUUUUUAUUGUUGCUAUUGUUUUCCUCAUGGCUUCGAGGGGUUUUAAGGAAAAUUUCCACCUCCUGAGCAGAAUGAGGAAGGAGCUCACUGUGGCCACACAAGAUCUGAAACCAAGGGGGUGUUUUGGGUCCUUCCUGGUGAGAAUCUUCACAUUUUUCAGAUGUCAAGAAGCCACCAAGGUGUCUUCCAAAGCAAUGCAUCAGGUGUGCAGGUCACACCCCACCACGUGCUCAGGACAGGGACUCCCUGUCACCUGAGCCAGCAGCACUGCCACAGCAGCUGAGUUCUGAAGGGAUUUUGGUGCUUCCUGAUGCUCCCUUGGACUCUGAGGGAGCUCAGUCUUGCUUAGAUCAUUGUCCAGAGCCUUGAGCUGCUUGCAGCAGUUUCUCCUUCUCUAAGAAGUGGGACAGAUGUGGGAUGGGACCCUUCUGUGUGACCACAGAUAAAUGUUUGGGAAGCCUGGUGAGAGCCUCUCAUGGGAGCUUCAAGGAGAGUCCAAAGUAUUAUCCACAAACCUGGCCAAAGCAGAUUAUAUUUUAUCCAGGGAAAAUGUUUCUUUUAUUACCCCCAUCCCAAUCAGCCUGCUGGGUUCCUGCUGCUGGCCAGAGGGGGCAUUUCCAUGGGCCAACAAGCCAGCUUCUCUGUUUUGCCCUUAGUUCUUUGAAUCCCAGGAUCAUUGAGGUUGGAAAAGCCUUCCAAGACCCCAAAGUCCAACCUGUGACUGAUCUCCACCUCACCAUCAGCUCUGGGUGCUCCAGUCAUACCAUGGACACCUCCAGGGAUGGGCACUCCAACCCUCCCUGGGCACUUCCAAUUCCUGAUCCCCCUUUCCAUGGGGAAAUUCCUGCUGCUGUCCACCCUGAGCCUCCCCUGGCCCAGCCUGAGGCCGUUGCCUCUCCUCCUGUCCCUGUUCCCCCCGGCUGUCCCCUCCUGGCAGGGAGCUGUGGAGACCAAGAAGGUCUUCCCUGAGUCUCCUUUCCCCCUCAGCUGCUCCUCACAGGAUGGACUCUCGGUUCUUCUCCUCUCCAGCGAGCUGAUCCCACGGUUUGGACCCUCUUUCCUUGGGAUGCCUCACUGAAUUCCUGCAGCCGAAAUCCGCACUAACCAAACAAUCCUGAUGACACACUUUGUGGUCACAUCUGCUCUCUCACCUUCCUCCUGUGACGAAAGGGAAAAACCCAAGAGCCCUCUGUGAUGACGCUCACUGCCGUUGAUUUAAUUGGGUUUGGGUAAAUCCGUUCUUCUGCAAAUGCUCACCGGGGCAAGCUGUUCCUCCUUGAGCUUGUGCAAAUAAAAUAAGGAUGCAAACAUGACUGCAAACACUGUAAGUGUGUGGUUCAUCCUGACAUCAGGUUUAGUCCUGCAACUCAGUUUCAAUUUUUGCAGUGUUUAAUAGAUGCUGUUAUGGUUUUUUUAUCCUCAGGAUUUUUAGGCCACCAAGGGAAGCCACUAG